UACGUAGGGUGCGAGCGUUAAUCGGAAUUACUGGGCGUAAAGCGUGCGCAGGCGGUUCGUUGUGUCGGCGGUGAAAGCCCCGGGCUCAACCUGGGAAUGGCCGUUGAAACUGGCGAACUGGAGUGUGGCAGAGGGGGGGUGGAAUUCCGCGUGUAGCAGUGAAAUGCGUAGAGAUGCGGAGGAACACCGAUGGCGAAGGCAGCCCCCCUGGGCUAACACUGACGCCUCAGGCACGAAAAGCGUGGGGGAGCAAACAGG
rnacentral:rRNA from 1 species